UACGUAGGGGGCAAGCGUUGUCCGGAAUCAUUGGGCGUAAAGAGCGUGUAGGCGGUCCGGUAAGUCGGCUGUGAAAGUCCAGGGCUCAACCCUGGGAUGCCGGUCGAUACUGCCGGACUAGAGUUCGGAAGAGGCGAGUGGAAUUCCCGGUGUAGCGGUGAAAUGCGCAGAUAUCGGGAGGAACACCUAUGGCGAAGGCAGCUCGCUGGGACGUUACUGACGCUGAGACGCGAAAGCGUGGGGAGGCAAACAGG
rnacentral:rRNA from 1 species